GCUAGAGUGAUUAGUAAAAAUUUUAUUCAUAAAAUAUUCUGUUAAGGAAUUAUGAUCAACUUUUAGAAAUAUAAUAAAAAGCGUCUUUUUAUGUUUCUCAGCUUGCAGAUUAAAGAAACAUUUACGUUAACAAUAAAGUUAAGUUGUACUUGUUUAUAAUUAAUAACAACAAAAACCCUUUAAAGAUUAAUUUUAUUAAAACACGAAGGCUUGAAAAGAAACUAAAACAUAUAAAGACACUAUAAUACUAACGCUUAAAUAUCGUAUAAUUCUUCGAUUAAUGCAGCUAUUCGUAUUAGGAUUUUUCAAAAGAAGGCAUUACGUGGGAAAUAGUCGAAGCGCUCCGAAUCCCAAUCAUUUUCAAUAUCGUUCGUUCUUGGACCAAAAGACUUCACUGUGCCAAAUUUCAUCAAAAUAUCUCGAAAAUUCCACCGUGUAGGUCGAAAAUAAAAAAACAUGGCGGUUAAGGCCAUAAAUCAAUCCAAAAAUAAUAAAAGUGGGGUCACUUGAAAUCCUUCUGGAUAUUAUAUACGCCCGCACAAACUUAACAUGUUCUUGUACCACAAAUAUUAAAAUCGAUAUUAGUAACAAAAACAAUAGUAUUGUAUACAAAAAAAAGAAGAAAAACUAAAAUAAUGUUCUCAUACUUUGUUCUUUUCUGUUCUUCACGUUAAGCGAGAUCGAAAGUCAUUUUACAAGCGCUGCAUAAGAAUGUAAUCUAUAGCUUAUCUUUCUUUUAUUCCUUUUUUUUCCAGUUAUUUCAAAAAGUUCAGUUUACUAAUUUUUAUCACAGAUGAAGACUUGAAGAACAAAGUCAGCUUACCACUUCUCAAAUUAUAAUAAGAAACCAAUGACCGAAAAAAGAUCUCACGUGUUUUCAUCAAACCCUCAGUCGAAGCUGCAGAAAAAAAUAGCGAAUAUAAUCAAAACUUUAUUUGCAUCAUAGGAGUUACAAGGAAUGAUAAGCAUUGGGUUUCGCGGAGUAUCACACUAUAUAUGUAUGAUAUAAUAUUUUCAUUCAAGGCUUUCAAAAUACGCCUCAAUGUCUACAGUGAUUUCAAUAUUUGAUCAAAAUCUUUCUUCCUGGAGCAUUCUUCUGAGAUAAUUGUCGCAGGUAGUCACUAGUAAAUAUACUAAAAAUGUGACGAACGGAAUAGCAAAACGAAAAUCAAUUAAUACAAUUUUGCCAUUAUGGCACGCGAUCUUGUGGCGCGAUUCAUUUACUGCAACGAACUUUGAAUAGAGUGCCUAGUGAGCAGUGAAGUUUUACAAUCCUACUUUCCUUUUACCAAUAAUGAUUUGCAAGCUGUCGUAAUCGUUUUGAGCUUUCAAUCACCAUUUCCGCAUCAUCGGUAUCAAAUCGUCUCCUUUAAAAUGAGCAAACCUUCCACAAUUUGCAGUUUACGACGAAGAACACUAACUUACGCUAAGUUUGGAGAACUUUUUUUAUCAUCAAAAAUAAUCACGUCAAAACCAAAAAAAUCAAUGGGAUGUUGUUGUUUAUUGUUAAUCGGGAAUAACGACACAACGAACAACAAGGCAACCCCGAUUUUUCACUUAAUAAUGCUUAGCUUUACAUUCUACUCAUUUCUAUUCACUUCUAUCCACAAACUCCUGUUUCAUUCUCCACAUAUUUUUUGCAAGGUUGCAAUUAAACUUGAAAUUAAAAUUAUUAUUAAUCACUUCACGUGAAUUGCAUAUUUUUUCAACAUUUGCAAAAUAAGAAAAGCAGAGUCCUUUAAAUCAGUUGUUACUUACAUGAAACAAUUAGUGAAAUGAUAUAAAAUUUCGUAAAGGAUGGUUUGAAGUGAACUUUUAAAAUCUAACUGUCAAUACCGAGAAUCAUUAAACGAUACUUCACCAACGUAUGAUACGUAGGAUAGCUUUUUAUUAAGCAAGAUCACAUUAGGAGUACUGGCCAAUUUUGGAUUAAUAUAUGCGGAGGUCAAACAAAUGAGAAUGAGAGAGAGAGAGAGAGAGAGAGAGAGAAGGAGACUUCAGCUGAUUGUAGAGAAUCAUAAAAUGCACGUGCAGUUCUCAUUAAUAAGAAUGCAAUAAGUGUAUUACUUUAUUUACAAACACAUGCAUUCAAAUCCUACGCAUAUAGUUUGUAUUCUUAUGUUCAUAAAUUUAUUUUUUUUAAUUAUUUGACUAGCCUAACCCGGUUUUUCUUUUCAUUUCUUUUAGGGUGGCAGUUGCUUUUAAGCUUUUGUUUCGGUGGGCGUUUCCAACUAUGAGAUAAAAGUAAAGUUCACUACCUUUUUUCAGCAAAAUUCAAACUUAUUCUUAGAAUUUAAUUACCUCUGUUACAUAAAGACGAACCAUUUUAAUCAAAUCUUUUGUUAGUUUUUUCAAAGGUAAUCAUCACAUUCUUUUUCGUACUUAGUUGUCAUAUGCGACCAACUUUUCAUAGCUUGUUACCAAUAGAAUUUCGUAAUGCUUCAUCAUAGAUUCAUACUAAAAAGUCGAUUCUUUAAAUAUUUCACAGUUAAUCCGUUCGAUAUCCAAGUAUAAGAUUUCCUUUGUGUCCAAUCUUAUGAAAAUUUUUUUUUCUCAAUUUUUUUGCCGUAUCUCGAAAUUUUCAAAGUGGUGGAAACCAACGAACCAUUUGCUCGCUGGGGUCUUUCAUGAAACUUCUCUAUCAUAAACGCACAAAUUUUCCACAAAUCUGAGAAGCGUUAACGUAGUGCUCGAAGUGAUAAUGAAUUUUAAUUGAAUGAUUUUGAUUGCUAUUGCUUUGUCCACUAUUUCGAUGAUCACACAAUAUUAAGAGUAAGAACAUUAUUGUCGGGCAACGAUGACCAUUACAUACCCUACAACACUUCGCCUAGCACAGUUAUUCACUGCUUUUGAUAAUAAAACACCAAAA